AUACUUACCUGGCGUAGGAGUUAACGAUGAUCACGAAGGUCGUUCUCCCGGAUUGAGGCUCUGCCAUUGCACCUUCGGUGGGGUUGACAUCCGCGAUUAUUCCUAAUGCGAAUAACUCGUGCGUGUAAUUUUUGAUAGCCGGGAAUGGCGUUCGCGCCGUCCCGAA